UACGUAGGUGGCAAGCGUUAUCCGGAUUUACUGGGUGUAAAGGGCGAGUAGGCGGGAUUGCAAGUCAGAUGUGAAAACUAUGGGCUCAACUGAUAGAGUGCAUUUGAAACUGCAGUUCUUGAGUGAUGGAGAGGCAGGCGGAAUUCCCGGUGUAGCGGUGGAAUGCGUAGAUAUCGGGAGGAACACCAGUGGCGAAGGCGGCCUGCUGGACAUUAACUGACGCUGAGGCGCGAAAGCGUGGGGAGCAAACAGG
rnacentral:rRNA from 1 species